UCUCCCUCCUCAUUCCCGACUGCAGCGGGAGGGGAAGGAAAAGCUGGGCACUGAGGCGGGGCCCCAUGGUGGGCUCAUCCCUGCCACCUUCCCUCACGGCCACCCUACGCGGCAGAAGACGGAAGGUGCUCCAUCAGAGAGAGGUCAGCCUCCCCUGCACACCUGAGGCGGACCCGCACAAGCUCAGGCGGAAGUCUCUCUUGCGAGGGGACCAUCUCCUUGGGCGGAGCCCCUCCGCCUCCCCUGGGGGAACUGCGGCAGGAGAUAGAGCGCACAUGCGCAGUCAGCGCGGGUCGCGCCCUCUUCUCCAGAGGUCUGGCUACGUCUCGGAAAAUUCUGCGCAGUCACCUGCCUCCGCCCAAGAUGUGGAGAGGGCGCCUGAGGAAGGGAAGGGAAGGGGGAGAUCCGGAGAGGCUGGCGCGCCCCAGGACAGCCAAGAAAAUGGCCAGGCCCCCGCAAUCCCCAUCUGUUUGGAGCCACCCGCCUGCGGAACCGAUGAUCGGGCGGCAGCCGCCGCCGCUGCGCUGGGGAUGGGUCUGCAGGGUGGAUCCCCGGAGAUUGCCCCACUGGUCUCAUAUCUUGGUCAUAGAGUGAUCCCCUCGUUGGCUCCCUCCAGGAAGCUUUGCUUGGACACCUGCCUAAGGAACCUAAAGCGGUCCGGAGGGCGGCGGCUGCCCUGGUGGGAAUGGGUCCGAAGGGCGGACCCCUGCAGGCUCCCGCGGCGCGGCUGGCCUUCUGUGGCUUUAGUUAAACUACCGGCCCAGGGAACCUUCCAAAGGACAUGCCGCGCGGCGGGUCCGAAGGCCGGACCCCUGCAGGAUCCCGCAGGCGCGGCUGGCCUUCUGUGGCUUUAGUUAAACUACCGGCCCAGGGAACCUUCCAAAGGACAUGCCGCGGGGCAGGUCCGAAGGGCGGAUCUCUGGAGGACACUGCGCCGUACCACGGGCUGGCGUUCUGCGGCUUUCGUUAAACUGCCGGCCCGGGAACCUCCCGAACGACAUACCGCGGGAUUGGGUCCGAAGGGCGGACCCCUGCAGGCUCCCGCAGGCGCGGCUGGCGUAAUGCGGCUUUAGUUAAACUGCCGGCCGGGAACCUCCCGAAGGACAUGCCGCGGGAUUGGGUCCGAAGGGCGGAUCCCUGGAGGACACUGCACUGCCCGCGGGGCUCUCAGCUUGGCCCCAGAGAUUCCCGCUGCUCCCAGGCCAGUCUGCUGAGAUUCAGCCACCUGCCUGGGAAACUUGAGCUCAGCGGCAGAGGGUACAGCUGUUGCUAUGGUGGCCAUGGGCCCGGAGGGUGGGUCCCUGGCGGAGAUUGCGCCACUGGGCUCAUAUGGUGGUCAUAGAGUGUUCGCCGCUGCUGCCGCCGGGCUCACAUCCCGGUCAUAGAGAGAUCGCCACUGGACUCACAUCCUGGUCAUAGAGUGAUCGCACUGCCCAGCUUUGGUAGAGGGAGCUGCCCAAGAAACCUGAGAGGACUGGGAGGGCGUGGCGCAGCCGCAGCUGUCUUUUUGGGGAUGGGUCCAGAGGGCGGCUCCCUGCACGAGACUGCGCCAUUGCCGCGGAUCCAACACCCUGGUCUAGGGACCUGCCUAGGAAAGCUGAGGGGAUCGGGAGGGCGCGCAUCGCUCUUUGAGAGGAGGAUCCAGAAGGCGGAUCCCUGCGCCCCAGCAUCCCCCGCCCCUAUCCACAGGGCGGAUCCCCGGUCCAGAAGGCGGAUCCCUAUUCUUGAAGGUAGAUCCCUGCGGCACAGGGCUCACAUCCUGGUCAUUGAAUGAUCUCCAUCUGCUAGUCCCGGAGUUUGGACUGAGCCACCUGCCCGGGGAGAUGACUGAGGUCACGCUGCUGCCUUUGAGGUGCCCCCACGGGCAAGCUCCUCCCGGCCCUCACCAGGCAGCAGCAGCAGUGAGCAGCCGGAGGCCUUGGGCGGUGUCCCGGAUCCCGCAGUCAGGGUGCAACAGCAGCAGAUCGCAGGCGAGACCCUUUACCGAGACGGCUUCUACAUCAGGCCUUUAUAAGGGGAAGGAGGUGCUGAUGGUGGCCGCUGUAGUGGCAAUGGCAGAAAUAGUAGCAAUGGAGGUAAUGGUGGCAAUGGCAGAAAUAGUAGCAAUGGCGGUGAUUCCAGUGGCAAUGGUGGUUCCAGUGGCAGAUAACCUCACAAACGUUAAAAGGUCAGAAGAGAAGUGACCAGCAUCCGGGAGCCAGAGUUCAGGAUGGGAUUUUAAAUGGUGAGGAGCGAGGGCCCAGGCCAGCAGCAGCAGCAGCAGAAGGCCGGACCGCUCCAUCCGUCAGCCGCGCGACGUCCAUAAAUUCCGGAUGAACGUGGCAAGCAAGAGCCAAGAAAAGGAGAGCAGGAGACAAGGCAGCCCCUCCUAGAAGAUUUCCUUGACCAUUUGAACCUGAAAACACGGUGUCGGACAGCCUCUUAUCGAUCCCGUCCAGAACCUCCCCGAAGAUGUCCAGCAAGACCACCAACACCAACAGCGUGGCCCAGGCCCGGCGAACCGUGCAGCAGCUGAGGUUGGAGGCGUCCAUAGAGAGGAUCAAGGUGUCCAAGGCGUCUGCGGACCUCAUGUCCUACUGCGAGGAGCAUGCCCGGGGGGAUCCUUUGCUCAUGGGAAUCCCGACUUCAGAAAACCCCUUCAAGGAUAAAAAAACGUGCAUCAUCUUAUAGGGCGUUGGGGAGCCCCCGGUGCCGCCCCCAUGAUCUAAGCAGCUCCAUGAAGAAACGUACCUUCCGCUCACUUGGUAACCACUGCUAAAAACGAAAAUGCUUUUAACUUGUAAAAACAAACAAACAAACAAAAAAUGAGUUUUAAAGCCUUUGUUUUUAAAAGUCUCCCUCUCUUUAGAGCAUACCCUUUACAAAAUGGAUGGGAAUCGGUCCGUUUGUCCUUGGUUUCAGUUGAAAUGACUCCAGGUGGUUCUUCUCUUAGGUCGGCUUCGGUUUGAGGGAUGCUGGUUGGGCUCGGCUUCUGUGUAAAUCCAUUGUCCAGUGAUCUGCUUUUUGAUUUGAGGGAAGACCAAAGUUGCCUCCUCCUCUUUCCAGAUCCCCCAGGCCCGCGGGUCUCUAAAACGCUUGCCCCCUCAGCACCCGUAAUCGGCCCGGUGCCUCUCUGUACAGUCCCCAAGUCUCGCAUGUGUUUGGCGUGUAUAUAUGACUUUGUAUAUAUACAUUUCAAAGUGCAGAUUUUCUAGCCCCCCGCCCCCGAGUUCUGCCUCUAGCCGGCCACCAAGGCCUCCGCCUACGGCUUCGGGGUGACGGGGACGGCCGCCCCCCAAGAGUCGUUUUCACGAUACCAAAUUCUGAUCACUUUCUCAUCGUCGUCACCCUCUUGUUUGCUUCUCUGGCCCUCACGGCCUAAAUAUAAACGGUGCCAAUUUAAGAGAGCGAAAAACAAACCCCUCUUGUAAUUCGAGGUGCUACGCUGUGAGGGCCCCCUUUGCUUUUACGGACCCAGCGCAGUCAGGAUACAGAAUCUCAAAAUCCCAGAGCCGGAUUGUCCAACCCGUGCCUAAACACGUAUCCUUUCUGUCACCCCUCCGGACAGGUCAUCCGCCUGCUCUGCCGGAGACCACGGACACCUCAGAGUUUUGUUUUUAAUUCAUAAAAUAAAAUUUAUAGGAUUACAACAAAGGAAAGCAGUUAUACCGAAAUUAUCAAAAUAGGAAAAAAAAAACAAGUUUAUGGACCCUCGUUAAAACCCCGGUCUAAUCCAGCCCAUUCCCCAUCUACACUAAGAAGUGGUCAUUGCUCAAAAACCUCCAUAAAGGUGAACCUCGCAAGGUGACCCAUUGGGAUAACCCAAAGGGCUAGGAGAUUUUUCCUAACCUCAAACCUAAAUUUGCUUCCCCUUGUUGCUCCUCGUUCAACCUUCCAAGGUCAAGCAGAAGGAGGGGAAGUGUAUUCAUGGGCCCAGUGACCAGAGAAGGGAGGUUGCAUGAAUGUGGUUUUCUCUACAAAAAAGGAAAUCAAUUAGCCUGCUAAUUGGGGGAGUCCGCCUCCUUCCUCUUGUAGGUCCAUCCAUUCUCUCUCCUCCCUCCCUUCCUCUUCCCUAAAUCUUACCUGUGUGUGGGUCUCCUCUCCUCCUCCCCUUACCUAAUCCCAGUUUGUAGAACCGCGGGCAGAAAAGGCCCAAGAUGUUGGUGGAGUGUCCCAUUCCUAGCAGCCCACCCUGCCCUGCUCUUCCUGGAGGCAAGACUAAGCAGUGUGAGAGAAGGCAACCCCCCCAAUAGAAAUACAAAGUAAAGAAGUCACCUUUCAUUCCCCCUCCCACUCAGGUCACUGCAGAGCUGAGCAGAGGACGUCCUGGGGACUUUUGGCUGGACUUAAAUGGCCCCCUCUGGGCCCAGCCCCUCCAGGCAGGUCAGGAGGGUCCUUAUGGACACAGACUGUGCACUGACUGCGCUAGACGCAUGGCAAUUCCCCUUCCCUCAUCUGUCACUCUGGGAGGCUGAUGCACUCUGACCCCUCACAGGCUUGAGCUGGGAGCCUUGGAGGCUCUCCAGAAAUGCGACUUGUUAGAAAAAUUCUUUACGAAUCCCAGUGGCCACGAACGCUGCUCCGGAAAGCCAGCCAAGGGGAUUCUGUCUAAUGGGCCCUUAGCAGACGCUCUUGGAGGCAGCAGCCCCUUUGAGGAGUGCUUUGUUCUAUCUGGGAGAAAAACCCUCCACAUCUGGAUUGAUCGUGGCCAUCAGACAGAUUCCCCUGCCUUCUUGUGGCGACUGUUGUGGAGGUUGGGAGCUUUGCCCUUCGUGCCUGGGAUUCGCCAUCACCCCUCACUACCAGCUUUGAAAACCGCUGCUCAGUGCUAUGGUUUGUCCCAUCCCCAAGUAAACGGAGGGCCUCCCCUCCCCAUGUCCAAAGCAAAAGGGUUACCCCCCCCUUCCAAAGCAUUAACUCGGCUGCGUAGAUGGGGAAAAAACCAUUCUCCCGGCCCCGACCCCCUCCUCACACUCUCCUCUUCUUCAAUGAUCUUAUUUUUGUAACGACCAUUUCCCAACUUAAUCCGUAUUUUCCAAUCUGAUUUUAACCACUAAUCAUGUAGAAUGCAGCCUGUUGCAAAAAGUGCAGUAGAGCUUGAUUCCAUGGGGACCCCGCCACUGAGGGUAGUCGCCCCUUACUCCGUAGUGUUAAACGGAUCCUUUAAUCUCUUAUUUCUAGUACUGGGCUUGCCCCGGCCAGGUCUGGCCCCUCUACCCCGCUCCACCUGCUCCUCCCCUGGCCUGCUGGAGAGCCUCCAGGCCUUCAAGCAUGGGCUCAGCUGCCCAACCAGCAGCCAAAGCCAAAUGACCCCAGAUCUAGACCUUGGCUUCUGGACCAAGACCGAAGUAAUAAUUCAGUGUUGACGGACCUAGAACCAAAAACAUUGUUGAUGUACCUAGAACCAAAAAGAUUAUAUGAGGAAAGAUAAUAUAUAUGUCUAUGCUAAACAGAAGUACAGAAGUCCCUUUUAUUUAACCGGCUCGAUCCCCCUUGUAAGGUUCAGCCGCUCUCGGAGCAGCUGCUGUGAUGAUUUGGGGCAGAUGUCUGGGUGUAUGACACCGUAAUGUUGACAGAGAUAUACGCCCACAGAUGUGUAUAUAUAAACUGUAACCCUCUGGCUUGGUUAUCACUGCACUUUCUACAGCGUGGGUUCAACGUAUGAACUUUGAUGGUAGUUUUGCCAAUAUGCUGUUUUCUCGGUUCGUCCCUUUCCCUCCAUCAUUCCAACACGUCUGUACAGUUUUUAUUUAAACUCGAGGUCUCAGUGCCAUGACCAUGUGCUAAAUAGAAUUUAUUGGUCCCAAAAUCUUUUACAGAAACACCUUUUGGACAGGGGAAAUAUUUUAUGUACCAGAUAAUCGAUUAACAAGUGAUACACUGUGUCUGCUUGCUCUUUUUUCCUACAAAAUCUGGUUUUUAAGUUCCCUGGGCGAAUUAAAAUCAAAAGUGCCAUAUUCACCUUUUAGAGAAAAGGUCUGGUGUUUGCUUUCAGCCCAAUUGAGACAAUUUUUAUACUUUUUUCAUCUAAACCACCAGAAGAAAAAUUUAUACCAAUAUUUUAGUGUAUAUAAAUGUGCAUAUGUUUUAACAGAUUCAUAGAGAUUUAUGGAAAUGCAGAGGCAUCUUUAAACCUGAGGCAGAGGCUAGAAAAACAAAUGGUGGAGGAUAUGUUCAGCUGUCUUUUCAGUUCUGUUAUAGCUAACUUUCUCGAUUUUAAAUGAAACGAGAAAAAUGGCAUUUAGCGAUCCGGUUACCCUGAAUUUCUUUUUUCUUUUGAGCUAAAACCUUCGAAAAGAUUCAUGGGCUUAGGAAGUGAAUUCUAACAUAAAUUAAUCCUUCCUUGCUGUCCGCCCUUAUACCAAAAGAUGAAUAUAUGACUAAGUGAGUGAGUAACAAUUCUCAAAGCUCUAAUUCGAAUAAUUAUGAGAAAAUCGAAUCUGGAAACUUCAGAUCGAAAUCUAUAAUUCCUGGCUUAUUGGCAGUGGUACGGAAAUUAAUCAAACCAUCCUUUUCUCUGAAUCAUAAACUGUCUCAGUUGGAAACGAUCCCAGAAGUCAUCUCGGCCAAGCCGUACUGGAAAAAGUGCUCCGGGACGACAUCCCCAAGUGUGGUCACCCGGUCCUUGCCCGACCGGGCAAGCCUCCCAGGCGAACCCUUCCGCUUUGGGAGCGUUCUGAUGGGUGGUGGGAAGAGAUUCCCGGCCUCCGGCCGCCACUGAUCUGUCUUCUGCCCUCCGGGGCCAAACGGAAUAAAUCUGAUUCUCCCUCCCCAGCCCCCUGAGCCAGGGCUCCAGGCCGCAUCCUCGGUGCCCCCCGGGCACGCGCUCUAAAGCACUGUUUUCAGAGAGGUUUCCCAGGGUUCCAAAGUCGAAGGCAGUAGGAUAGCGAGCCGGGACUGCCCGGCACCGGGUGACUCGCUUCCCGAUCCGGCCCCAGUCCCCCGGGCUGAGAAAGGACGGGCGAACCGGGUGACUUCUGGUCGUUCCAACUGGACAGACAGCUCCAUGGCCCCCCGACCCUCGCUCUCCCGCCGCCAUCUUCGUGCUGUGAGCCUCGCUGUGCUGCUGCUAUCUAAAUGUCGCUCCCCUCUCACGUCGCCCGCGCUAACGGCCCCCGAAAGUGUUUCUCCUGCCGCUAUUUUCUCACAGUUGGAAAACCUGCCUUUGUUACUCCCGUGGCGAUGAUGGUGUUUUGUUCCCUCCCGACUUUGUGGACUCCGUGACUUGCUUAAUGUUCUCUGUAUUGUUCGUGUGACUCCCCUGCGUGUCCUUUGGGUGUCCCCGAAAAUUUGCCUUUGAUUUCUAGUCCCUGAGACUCAGCCGUGUCAGAGCCUUCUCUGGCCCCUUGUAUGUUGUGUCGUGCGUAACCUUGACGCUGUGAUCAUCGUCCGAAAGACUGUCAAAGAUGGAAGCGUUUCUCUCCCAGCUCCUAUGUUCAAUAGCACGGAUACCAAUCAAACGAAUUAAAACAUCACGGCUUUCUAUUCUGCAUCGGCCUCCGCUUGUCUCAUUCUGUUCCCGGCGCUUCUCGGAGGGGUCCCUGGCCUUCCCGGGGCUGACAGAUGGACCGGCCCCAGGCCGCAACCCUCGCCCUCGGGACCAUCCCUCCUCCCUCCCCCGUGGUUCGGAGCCUCUCCCCCCACUUCCAUCCCUGGGGGAG
ensembl:lncRNA